AAUUAAGUUUAUUAAUAUUUUUUUUUUUUUUUGAUUUUUUAUAAAAAUAAUUUAUUUAUUUGAUGUUUUAGUAUUAAUUAAAAACUAAUUUAUAGAUUUAUAGUUUAAUAGUAUUGUGAAAGAAAAUUUAAAAUUUUUAAAAGAAUUAUUAUAGUACCUUUUGUAUCAGGGUUGAUUAAAAUUUUUAAUUUUUUUUUAAUUUCUCAAAAUUUAUAGAGUUAAUUUUAUUAUUAAUUUAUUGUAUUAUAAAUAUUUAUAAAAUAAUAUUAGUUUUGAAAUUUAAUUCGUUAUAUUAUAUUUAGUUAUUUAAGAUUUAAAUUUAAUUUAAAAUUUUAAAAGUUAUUUUAAUUUUAUUAAUUAAUAUUUUAAAUUUAAAUUAUUUUAGGGAUAAGCUUGAAAUUUAUAUAUAAUAAUUUUUUUAUUUAAAUAAUUUAUAGGAAUAGAAAUUUUUAUUUAAGUUUGUAAAAAUUUAUUAUUUAUUUAUAUUUAAUUUAUUAAAAGUUAUUUAUUUUUAAUAUUAAAUUUUAUUAAUUAAUAUUUUAUUAAUAGUAAUAAUGAUUAAAUUAGUAUAAUUUUUAUUUAUAAAUUAUGAAUUCGGCAAAAAUUAUUUUCAUCUGUUUAACAAAAACAUUGUAUUAAGUUUAAUUUAAUAUAGGAUCUGCUCAAUGAUUUUUUAGAUAGCUGCAGUAUUUUGACUGUGCAAAGGUAGCGUAAUAAUUAGUCUUUUAAUUGAGGACUUGUAUGAAAGAUUUGAUGAGAAAUAGACUUUAUUAUUUAUAUAAUUAAAAUUUUAUUUUUAAGUAAAAAAGCUUAAAUUAUUUAAAGGGACGAUAAGACCCUAUAAAACUUUAUAAAUUUAAAUUUUAAUUUUUUUGGUUUAUAAAUAUUUUAUUUUUUAAAUUUAUUUUAUUGGGGUGAUAAAAAAAAAUAAUAAACUUUUUUUAAAAUUAAACAUUAUUUAAUGAUUUAUUGAAUUAAAAUUUUUAAUUAAAGGAAAAAGUUACUUUAGGGAUAACAGCGUAAUUAAUUUUUUAAGUUCAAAUUUAAAAAUUAGUUUGCGACCUCGAUGUUGAAUUAAGAUUAAUCUUAGGUGCAAAAUUUUAAGUUUUAGGUCUGUUCGACCUUUAAAUUCUUACAUGAUUUGAGUUCAAACCGGUGUAAGCCAGGUUGGUUUCUAUCUUUUAAAAAUUAAUUUAUUUUAGUACGAAAGGAUUAAAUAAUUAAAUUAAAUUUUAUUUAAUGAAUUAAAUUAAUUUA
rnacentral:rRNA from 1 species